UUCAUUGCUCUCUGAAGGGCUUGUUCACCAAACGAAACACGAUUAACAAAUGAUCUAGUCACAAAAAGACAUCCGGAGUGCAGCCGAACAGCGUGAAUCAUGCAAAAACAAAGACGAGUACAGGAACAGACUCGUGUAACAACAACAAGAACAACAGGAGGGAAAUAUAACAUGAUGAUAACAGGGAUUUGGUCGAGAUCAUCACAGCUUAUGUACCGGCGGGGAAAGUGAUGAGCGGCAGUGGACGAUAUGUCUCCGUUUAAUUGCAGUGAGACAAAAUAGCAAUUAGCUGCGGCUCAAAGUACUGACAAACCCUCUUGAUGAAUGUUGAAAAUGUCAUUCUAUUCCCCCACUAAAGCUUUAGGGCAUCCAACACGGGCUAUUGUCAGCCAUAGCUCUUGCCUGGCAGGAAGGCUGAACGGGGCUGAGCUCAGAUUCGGGUCGUGAUUUUCAACAGUGUUCUGUAAAAGCAGUCGGCGAAAGCUAACAAAUGUUUCUAGUGUAACGUUUACUGACAUUAUAUGCGAAAUACGAGCCUGAGAGCGGCUACGAAGAGCGGCGAGAGGGGAGAAAUGAGCAGCCAGUCUGCCGAGGCUUCCCCCGCUGCUCUGCCGCCCGCUCAUUACAACGGGAAUGGGUUAGUUUGGGGCUAUGCGGGGAUGUUAAAUACCCAUUAAGUCCAUUUAAUAGACGAAGCCCACACCGAAAUCGCUAACCCUGACAACCGUAACUUUUUAAAAGGAGAAUAUGUUUAGUGUUAUUCGCGAAAAAAUGUCACAACCCUGUUCGGCUAUAUUUAACUCCGCCUUCUUCUUCUCCAAGCGGCCUCUCUUCAGAUGUAGACGGGCGACUGAGAGCCACAAAGCUGUCAAACGCACCGAGAUCUCGCCAUUUUUGUUUGUUUUCCACGAAUGCAAACCGCCACAAAAACACCACGGUAAACAAUCUGGCCUUACCUGCCGUGGAACCAGUCCUUGCAAGCAUCGCACUCGAUCAUAAACUGGGUCACGUCGUAAGUGCAACAGUCAGUGAGCUGUCAUCUGUCGGUGUGCUCUCGGAGGCUCAGUCCAUGUGACAUGACUUCCACUGCACAAAGGAUUGGCAGAAAAGCAUGCGGAUUUACAUAAUGCAAAAUAUGGCUGUAUGUAGUAGGACAUACUGGUAUGUUUGGCUUACUGCAUUUGACACACUGUGUAUUGGGACAUAGUAAAUCCUUUUCUGGGAUAUGUAAUAGUAUAAAAUGGAUAUUCUAACAGUCAUGUGCAAUGUGGUUUGUGGUCUAAUGUGGUAUCUCCCUUCAUAAAUCGUUCUCAAGUUAAAGCUGUUACCGUUAAUGUUACUUUCAUCUAAAAUGGGUGUAAAUGACCCCAGGCGGAAAUUGACGUUUGUAUUGUUAUUUUGUUGUUUCCUGUUAAAAUGGAGGUUUAUUUUGAAAGGGAGCCUGUAUGCCUUUAGCAAAAUGGUAACAAGCAGUAAGAAGGAAAAACGGUGCAAGUCAAGAAAAGCCACGAAAAAGAGACUAAAAAUGUUGUAUGUUCAUUGCACUCAUUUGUGUCCAACUGUGUUUAUAGAUUAUAUUAACUUUUACUCCUAACAGAAAUGUAUUAAACUAAUGUGUGUUUUGCUAAGGAAGGUAAUGCAUUAUUUUAUUUUAUUUUAGUUUAUUGCUUUCUGUUUGUACUUGGUUUAUGAACGGCCCCAGAAAUAAAUAAUAAAAGGCCAUUUAGGCCAUCAGUACAGACCAA